AUGAAUACCUUAAUAUGGAACUGCCGGGGGGCGGGGAACCGCCGGACAGUUCGUGAGGUGUUGGCCCUCUCUAAAACCAACAUCCCCAAGCUUGUCUUUCUGUGUGAAACAAGGCAAGCAGAUGCGAAGAUGGAGAAGUUACGAUGAAGACUUGGUUUGAAAGGUUUCUGUGGUGUGAGCAGUUCAGGUUUAAGCGGUGGCCUAGCACUUUAUUGGGAUGAACAACUUGUGGUCACUGUU
rnacentral:rRNA from 1 species